UACGUAGGGUGCGAGCGUUGUCCGGAAUUACUGGGCGUAAAGAGCUCGUAGGUGGUUUGUCGCGUUGUUCGUGAAAACCGGGGGCUUAACUCUCGGCGUGCGGGCGAUACGGGCAGACUGGAGUACUGCAGGGGAGACUGGAAUUCCUGGUGUAGCGGUGGAAUGCGCAGAUAUCAGGAGGAACACCGGUGGCGAAGGCGGGUCUCUGGGCAGUAACUGACGAUGAGGAGCGAAAGCGUGGGGAGCGAACAGG
rnacentral:rRNA from 1 species